rnacentral:lncRNA from 1 species
CCUUCUUGGUGACAAUGUUGCCCUGCUCAUCCGUGAAUUGCUCCUCUGUCACCUGCUCCCCUGGAAUAUUCUGAAACUCAUUCCCCUGGAAUUAGAGUUACCUUCAGGAAGACCCGCCGCCGGACCACCCUGGUGGAGAUGGUCUCCUCGUCGUCACUGAGGCCCUCGCUCUCCCCCAGCUCCUUGUCCAGCUCCUGGUGGAUGUGCUUUAGCACAAAGCACAGGGACCCCCUGACAAUGUGCAUCACGUUCUGACAGCUGACCAGGAAGAAGCUCAGCAGCACCAGCGUGACCAACAGCUGGGUGACGAAAGUCCACAU